rnacentral:rRNA from 1 species
UGGGGAAUUUUGCACAAUGGGGGAAACCCUGAUGCAGCGACGCCGCGUGAUUUAGAAGGCCUUCGGGUUGUAAAAAUCUUUUCUAUGGGAAGAAAAUGACAGUACCAUAGGAAUAAGGACCGGCUAAUAACGCGCCAGCAGCCGCGGUAAUACGUAAGGUCCGAGCGUUGUCCGGAAUCAUUGGGCGUAAAGGGUACGUAGGCGGGUAAGCAAGUUAGAGGUGAAAUCCUAUAGCUCAACUAUAGUAAGCUUUUAAAACUGCUCAUCUUGAGGUAUGGAAGGGAAAGUGGAAUUCCUAGUGUAGCGGUGAAAUGCGCAGAUAUUAGGAGGAAUACCGGUGGCGAAGGCGACUUUCUGGCCAUAACCUGACGCUGAGGUACGAAAGCGUGGGUAGCAAACAGG